rnacentral:snRNA from 1 species
GUGUUCGCUUCAGCAGCACAUAUACUAAAAUUAAAAUGAUACAGAGAAAUUGGUGCAGCCCCUAUGCAAGGAUGACAUACACAUUUGUGAAGCCUUCUAUAUUUUC